rnacentral:rRNA from 1 species
GUGCCAGCAGCCGCGGUAAUACGUAGGGUGCGAGCGUUGUCCGGAAUUAUUGGGCGUAAAGAGCUCGUAGGCGGUGUGUCGCGUCGAUCGUGAAAACCUGUGGCUUAACUGUGGGCGUGCGGUCGAUACGGGCAUCACUGGAGUUCGGCAGGGGAGACUGGAAUUCCUGGUGUAGCGGUGAAAUGCGCAGAUAUCAGGAGGAACACCGGUGGCGAAGGCGGGUCUCUGGGCCGAUACUGACGCUGAGGAGCGAAAGCGUGGGGAGCGAACAGGAUUAGAUACCCUGGUAGUCC